ACAUAUAUACCACACCACAUUAUUUUCACGAAAAAAUAUUUAUUACGAUCUGCAAAAGAAAUGUUGAAUUUCAAGAAUUUAGAAAAAUGAAAUGACAAAUUAGUUGUAAUGUAAAUCUAGUAUGAAUCAUGGACACCAAGUUUUGAGAUCAAAAUAAGAAAAAGAUUGCACAUAAAAUAAGUCUCAAUACAAAGUAGCGUUAACACCUUUUCAAAUUGGAAUAUCUUAAUUUUUCAACAUCUAUAUAAUAGCAAUGGCUGGAUUUGUAAGACCAGAGCUUCUGGAACUAUAAAUUAAUUUAGAUAACAAAGCAAUUGAAUUUAUUGUUUUCUGGGUUUAAAUUGUCUCGCAACUACCGGAACGCCGUUUUGGUAAACUUGAAAUAUUUAUCGAGAUUCUGGAAGAUAUAAUCUAUCCAUAAGGUUUAGCAGAUGAUGCAAGAGGCAUGGUGUUGUCACUACAUGUGUUGCAGUAAAUUAACCCACAGUUCCUACAGUCAGUGAUGCUGGUAGAACAAAUAGAUUAAUCAGAAAAAAAGUUUUAACCAGCGUGAUUACACACUAAUAACUGGAAAGUGAAAAAAAUGUGAUUUUUAUUAGAAAGAAAAACAGUAUAACUAAAUUUUUUAUACCAAAAUUUAUCAUAAAAUUUGGUGGUGCUUAUAAAACAGAACAACGAUAAAAAAUCUAGAAAUUCUUUAGCAUCCAGAAGUUACUACUCAUAAUCACAUUUUAUCAUCACUGAGAUGUCAUCCACAUAAAUACUGUUUAUAAAAACUUGGUAGUUGUUUUGAGGAAAACAAUCAUUAUAACUCAACAUUUUCCAUAUCUUCUCUUAUGAAUAAUAUUCACAUGCC